rnacentral:lncRNA from 1 species
AGGAAAUGCAGCAGGGUUUUUAAAGGGACUUUUUCAAAACAGGCUUGUUAAAGGGAGAAUCAUGUCUGCCAGGAGAGGUUGCUGAGCACAGAAAUGUGCUACUUCCAUGUUCCUUUAUCUUGCACUUUCUCUGAUACAUGGGAGAAGUAUCUCCUGGUGGGAGGUAUUCUAUCAGGUAGCCAGUGGUAUAGUCUCACUGUCUCCUUUCGGAUAUUUAGAGGAACUGUCAUGGGUCAAUUUUUUUAAAUAAUCUUAGACUUUCAGGAUUCCUAGGUAAGAGGCACUGUCCUUGAAGUCCACUACCUCAGAUAAACUUCUGUUUUUAUUCCCAAAUUAGAGAAUCUGGGUGGGUUACAGAGAAGUCCUAACAAAGACAUGUCUCCCUAUCGUUGACCUCUCACCUUCGGGGUGCCACAUUUUAUCAAAGCACCAUGUUAUAGUAUGCAGUGGUUAAGAGAAUAGUUACCGAGAUCGGUGAACCUAAUCUCUGCCAUUUAUUGGCUUUGUGACCUUUGUCAGUUAAUUCAACCUCCUCAAAACUCAGCUUUCUUAUUUGUAAAAUGGGUCCAAGUAAUGCACAUCCUAGAGGACUUCUGAGCAUGAAAUAAGACACAAAUGACAACUACUUAGCUCAGUGGAACAGAGCAGCUUUUCCAUUUUCAUUAUUGCUAGGUGCAUUGGUGAAUGCCUGUAAUCCCAUAGACUCAGGGGGCUGAGGCAGGAUAAUCACAAAUUCCAGGCCAGCCUCAGCAACUUAGCAAGGCUCUAAGCAACGUAGUGAGACCUUGUCUCAGAAUAAAAAAAGAAAAGGCAUGGAGAUAUAGUUCAGUGGUAAAGGGCCCUGGGUUUAAUUCCCAGAACUGCCCCCCACCACACACACACACC